AGCAACAUAGUGCUUUUGUUGUAUGUGCACCUGGAUUUUGAGUAUGUUGUUGUUGGUACUACUUUGUGGGGUUUGACAUCUUUAUGUGCUGAUGGGUUUGGAGGUCCUUAGUGCAUGCUACUCUAUUAUUAGCAACAUAGUGCUUUUGUUGUAAGUGCACUUGAAUUUGUUCCUGUCACUAUUUGAAUGUGAAUAUUAGCACUAAAGCUAGGAUAGUAGAUGAGGUUAUCAUUUCAUGGGUUAGCGAAUACUAUGUGCUAUAGCUCUUGGCUGGCAAACUGAAAAAUGUGAUUUUCAGAAGAGUUCAUAGAGAAGACCAGAAUGACUCAAAUCCAGGAAAUACAAUCGUAUAAUAACACAUCCAUGAAACAACACCAAAUGACUCAAUCCAGGAAAUGCAAUCGUAUAAUAACACAUCCAUGAAACAACACCAAAUGACUCAAUCCAGGAAAUGCAAUCGUAUAAUAACACAUCCAUGAAACAACACCAAAUGACUCAAUCCAGGAAAUGCAAUCGUAUAAUAACACAUCCAUGAAACAACACCAAAUGACUCAAUCCAGGAAAUGCAAUCGUAUAAUAACACAUCCAUGAAACAACACCAAAUGACUCAAUCCAGGAAAUGCAAUCGUAUAAUAACACAUCCAUGAAACAACACCAAAUGACUCAAUCCAGGAAUGCUGCAACCAUGGAACAACGCAUCCAUGGAACAAGACCACAAUGACUCCAUUGAGGAAUAAAAUGAAUUCUCUUUCAGUUGAUCGUGGCAUGCCCUUUGCUAAGAUAUGUGUUUGGUCCAUUUGGUAUCACAACUUUCAAUCGGAAAUCUGUUUUUAAGUUGUUAACGUCAUGUUAUAAGUUGUUAACUGAUUCAUUUUGAGUUUUUGAAUGGUGGUAUAGUGUUGGACACACCAAAUCAUAAGUUGUUGGAACUCCUUCAAAUACUAAUGUGGAAUACAGUAUGCUGGACUCAUCUAGGAGAAUUCUUGUUUAAAAUUGUUAAACUUGUUUACUUCAUAACACAUAUAGUUCUGACUCUACUACUAUUUCAUCCUAGCAGGAAUAAGUAUUGAGCCACUCCUCUCGAGGGCACACAUUGUUUGCUAAUUUCUCUCAGCUUGAGCACUGUUUAUGUAAUUGAUACAGCAGGUUGGUCUCCGAAUUGACUUGUGAAAAAACCCUAGUGUCAUAUGCUUAAACAUCCGCGUGGUGCCAUAAACGUAGUCCAUGACCACCUUUUGUGUACAUCCAAUGUACAUUGAACGCUUGGAUCAAACCCCUCUUUGACACCAGAAUGUCAUGUCCCUAAGAAAUGUUACAUCCUCUUUAGUUCUUCAUUGAUUCUGUUAUUUGCAGCAAUUUGAAUGACAUGGAGACAGCUCUGUUGGUUUUAAUAGGUAUUGAGCUUUUGAAGGUUGUUCUAAUGUGUUAAUGUUCCAACUAUCUUUAAGUUGCUAUCUUAUUUUUAAGUGGAUAAACUUCUUGAUUUGUCUAUUGGAAACCGCCUCUCUGAGGUAGGCAUGAAGUCUACGUACACUCUACCCUUUCCGAACCCUACGUUCUGAGACUACACUGUGUAUGUUGUAGCUUCUUGAUUUGUCUUUGGAGAUCUAAUCCUUUUGCUAUAUAUCCUUUCUUGCUAUUAUACAUCCUUUUACUGUCAUUAGCUGCACAGUAUUAAAACAAGUUCCAUAAUUGUGGACUCAAGGCCUGAUGAUAUCACUAAGUUAUGUUGCUCGGAUCCUCAAAUGCGCGCUGCAUCCUUGUCGGAUCCUUCAAAACUGCUAACUUUUGGUCAACUCGACACAC
rnacentral:lncRNA from 1 species